rnacentral:rRNA from 1 species
GUCUAUGGCCAUGCUACCCUGAACAAGCCUGAUCCCGUCUGAUCUAAGAAGCUAAGCAAGGUUGGGCCUGUUUAGUACUUGGAUGGAAGACUACCUAGGAAUACCAGGUGCUGUAGGCA